UGAACGCUGGCGGCAGGCCUAACACAUGCAAGUCGAACGGUAACAGGAAGCAGCUUGCUGCUUCGCUGACGAGUGGCGGACGGGUGAGUAAUGUCUGGGAAACUGCCUGAUGGAGGGGGAUAACUACUGGAAACGGUAGCUAAUACCGCAUAACGUCGCAAGACCAAAGAGGGGGACCUUCGGGCCUCUUGCCAUCGGAUGUGCCCAGAUGGGAUUAGCUAGUAGGUGGGGUAACGGCUCACCUAGGCGACGAUCCCUAGCUGGUCUGAGAGGAUGACCAGCCACACUGGAACUGAGACACGGUCCAGACUCCUACGGGAGGCAGCAGUGGGGAAUAUUGCACAAUGGGCGCAAGCCUGAUGCAGCCAUGCCGCGUGUAUGAAGAAGGCCUUCGGGUUGUAAAGUACUUUCAGCGGGGAGGAAGGCGACAAGGUUAAUAACCUUGUCGAUUGACGUUACCCGCAGAAGAAGCACCGGCUAACUCCGUGCCAGCAGCCGCGGUAAUACGGAGGGUGCAAGCGUUAAUCGGAAUUACUGGGCGUAAAGCGCACGCAGGCGGUCUGUCAAGUCGGAUGUGAAAUCCCCGGGCUCAACCUGGGAACUGCAUUCAAAACUGGCGGCUAGAGUCUUGUAGAGGGGGGUAGAAUUCCAGGUGUAGCGGGUGAAAUGCGUAGAGAUCUGGAAGGAAUACCGGUGGCGAGAGGCGGCCCCUCUGGACAAAGACUGACUGCUCAGGUGUCGAAAGCGUGGGGAGACAAAACAGGAUUUAGAUACCCCUGGUAGUCCACGCCCUAAAACGAUGUCGACUUGGAGGUUGUGCCCCUGAGGCGUGGCUUCCGGAGCUAACGCGUUAAGUCGACCGCCUGGGGAGUACGGCCGCAAGGUUAAAACUCAAAUGAAUUGACGGGGGCCCGCACAAGCGGUGGAGCAUGUGGUUUAAUUCGAUGCAACGCGAAGAACCUUACCUACUCUUGACAUCCAGAGAACUUAGCAGAGAUGCUUUGGUGCCUUCGGGAACUCUGAGACAGGUGCUGCAUGGCUGUCGUCAGCUCGUGUUGUGAAAUGUUGGGUUAAGUCCCGCAACGAGCGCAACCCUUAUCCUUUGUUGCCAGCGGUUAGGCCGGGAACUCAAAGGAGACUGCCAGUGAUAAACUGGAGGAAGGUGGGGAUGACGUCAAGUCAUCAUGGCCCUUACGAGUAGGGCUACACACGUGCUACAAUGGCGCAUACAAAGAGAAGCGACCUCGCGAGAGCAAGCGGACCUCAUAAAGUGCGUCGUAGUCCGGAUUGGAGUCUGCAACUCGACUCCAUGAAGUCGGAAUCGCUAGUAAUCGUGGAUCAGAAUGCCACGGUGAAUACGUUCCCGGGCCUUGUACACACCG
rnacentral:rRNA from 1 species